rnacentral:rRNA from 1 species
ACUCAAAGGAAUAGACGGGGGCCCGCACAAGCAGCGGAGCGUGUGGUUUAAUUCGAGGCUACACGAAAAACCUUACCUGGGUUUGACAUCCCACGAAUGAACCCGAAAGGGGGAAGUCCUCGCAAGAGGCGUGGAGACAGGUGCUGCAUGGCUGUCGUCAGCUCGUGUCGUGAGAUGUUCGGUUAAGUCCGAAAACGAGCGCAACCCUCGGUCUGUGUUACAGGUGUCACGGACGACUGCCGGCGGCAAGCCGGAGGAAGGUGGGGAUGAUGUCAAGUCAGCAUGGCCUUUAUAUCCAGGGCGACACACACGCUACAAUGGGUGGUACAGUAGGUUGCGAAACCGCGAGGUGGAGCCAAUCCUGAAAAGCCAUUCGUAGUUCGGAUUGCAGGCUGCAACUCGCCUGCAUGAAGCUGGAGUUGCUAGUAACCGUGCAUCAGCAUGGCACGGUGAAUACGUUCCCGGGCCUUGUACACACCGCCCGU